rnacentral:RNase_P_RNA from 1 species
UAGGUACAUUGGGUAAUAGCUUGAAAAAUAAUAGAAAUUUUUCAAGAGGAAAGUCUGGGCUGCAGUGAAGCAUGGUUCCAUCUAACGGAUGGCUAGGGUAACCUAAGGGACAGUGCAACAGAAAGUAUACCGCCCAUUUGGGUAAGGGUGAAACGGUGGGGUAAGAGCCCACCAGUCUUUAAAGCAAUUUAAAGAGCUAUGUAAACCCAACCAGCAGCAAGAGAAGCGUGGUAAUAAGCUUCACAUAUAUUGUUUCUCGCAUGAUUGUUAAAGUGAUUUAACAACUAGAUAAAUUAUUAUCAACUACAUAACUCAGCUUAUAGAUGUACCUAAAUU